rnacentral:rRNA from 1 species
GAUUGGCGUUGCAUAUGCUUCGGUGUGUGUAACGUGCAAUCAUCCUCCUGAGAACUAUCCACGCCUUCACUGGUUGUGGGUAGGUAUCAGGAACUUUACUUUGAAAAAAUUAGAGUGUUUCAGGCAGGCAAUUGCCCGAAUACAUUAGCAUGGAAUAAUGGAAUAGGACUUCUCCCAUUUUGUUGGUUAUUGGUUGAAGUA